GCAGUUGCUCUAUUGUUGCAUCCUACAACCAUGAAUAGUAACUUUGUUAUAUGGAACAUGCAACUUAGAUGGCAGUCAAUAGCAAUAACAAAAAUAAUGCCAAGUCAAUCAUUGCAUAACAAAAAUUUUGGGACUAGCAUGUCUAGCCAAGGAAACAAAGUAAAAUGAAAUCCAGUGUUGUCACCAGGCGCCUGGGCACUCGCCUAGGCGCCUUGGCGAGGCAAAAUCCAAGCAUUUCGCCUAGGAAGCCUCCACGUGAGGCGACUUCAACCAAGCGCCGCCUAGGCACCUAGGC
rnacentral:misc_RNA from 1 species